rnacentral:rRNA from 1 species
UACGUAGGGUGCAAGCGUUACUCGGAAUUACUGGGCGUAAAGCGUGCGCAGGCGGUUGUGCAAGACAGAUGUGAAAUCCCCGGGCUCAACCUGGGAACUGCAUUUGUGACUGCACGGCUGGAGUGCGGCAGAGGGGGAUGGAAUUCCGCGUGUAGCAGUGAAAUGCGUAGAUAUGCGGAGGAACACCGAUGGCGAAGGCAAUCCCCUGGGCCUGAACUGACGCUCAUGCACGAAAGCGUG